AUAUUUCACACAAUGUUCUGAAGGCUUUACUUUGUAUGAGAUAUCACCCUAUUCUUUUCCUACGUUGUGGUACGUUCUAGCCUAACACAAGCAACCCAUGUCUCGAGCAGGUCGGACAUAGAUGAUGAAAAAAAUAUAAGGCUUGAAAUCGUAAAAAAAAAUCUUACAGAUAUUGUGUUUCCCACUGCUUUCAAGCUCUCGUCGCAGACUCUGAUUCUGUGCCUGCAUCUGCUAAGUGGAGAGAGGGAGGGGAGCCUGCCUUUCUGGAUGCCAUUUCAGUGAAAGAAACCGAUCAUGAGGGACUUUGUCGUCACUGUCGUAUUCGUCACUCUCACACACGUUGCUGUUGACGCCGGUUUACUUACAUCGAUAUUAUCGGGGUCAACAAUGCUACGAAGACCGACUCUACCUAAGCUGCCGAAACUUCCGAGGCCAGUGCGCAAUUUGGGUUCACUGGCGAAAGAACAACGCAUCGACCCGCACAUCGACUCCAAAAUUGAUAUCAUGUUGGAUUUGG
rnacentral:lncRNA from 1 species